AGCAGAGAUGCUUUUGGUUCCUUCGGGAACUCUGAGACAGGUGCUGCAUGGCUGUCGUCAGCUCGUGUUGUGAAAUGUUGGGUUUAAGUCCCGCAACGAGCGCAACCCUUUAUCCUUUGUUGCCAGCGGUCCGGCCGGGAACUCAAAGGAGACUGCCAGUGAUAAACUGGAGGAAGUGGGGAUGACGUCAAGUCAUCAUGGCCCUUACGAGUAGGGCUACACACGUGCUACAAUGGCGCAUACAAAGAGAAGCGACCUCGCGAGAGCAAGCGGACCUCAUAAAGUGCGUCGUAGUCCGGAUUGGAGUCUGCAACUCGACUCCAUGAAGUCGGAAUCGCUAGUAAUCGUAGAUCAGAAUGCUACGGUGAAUACGUUCCCGGGCCUUGUACACACCGCCCGUCACACCAUGGGAGUGGGUUGCAAAAGAAGUAGGUAGCUUAACCUUCGGGAGGGCGCUUACCACUUUGUGAUUCAUGACUGGGGUGAAGUCGUAACAAGGUAGGCGUAGCGAG
rnacentral:rRNA from 1 species